UACGUAGGGGGCAAGCGUUGUCCGGAUUUAUUGGGCGUAAAGAGCGUGUAGACGGCCAUGCAGGUCCGCUGUGAAAACUGGAGGCUUAACCUCCAGACGUCGGUGGAAACCGCAUGGCUAGAGUCCGGAAGAGGAGAGUGGAAUUCCCGGUGUAGCGGUGAAAUGCGCAGAUAUCGGGAAGAACACCCGUGGCGAAGGCGGCUCUCUGGGACGGUACUGACGCUGAGACGCGAAAGCGUGGGGAGCGAACAGG
rnacentral:rRNA from 1 species